AUCUGCUCCCCUCACCCCACCCCUUGGCAAAAUCCCAGGGCUUUUUUUGGGGUCAGUAGGAUUCUGGCCACCUCUCCAGUCCGCCCCCAAAAGCCAGACUCCACAUUCGCAGGCAGUAGGUUGGGAUUUGGAAAGGUGCCUCCCCGCAGGAACCCCACCCCUUCCCACCUCCUCGCCCCACUCUUUCUCCGCGGCCGUCAGUCUCUCCAUUUCCCCCUCCUGGUCUCGUCCUCCCUCCCGACUCCCUAGCUCUCCCUCCCCUCGCUUUCAUCCUCCUAUCCCCACCUCUCCAACCUCCUCUUUCAUCCCCCUCCCCUCUCCUCUCCUCCCCGCUCCCGCCUGCCCCACCCCUGGGAAGCCCCUCCCGUCGGGCAGCGCCGCCUUAUAAGCGGGUUCCCUUCCCGGGGGCGGCAGCGGCUGG
rnacentral:lncRNA from 10 species